rnacentral:rRNA from 1 species
UACAGAGACUGCAAGCGUUAUUCGGAUUCACUGGGCGUAAAGGGUGCGCAGGCGGUUGCGUGUGUUGGAUGUGAAAGCCCGGGGCUCAACCCCGGAAUUGCGUCCAAAACUACGCGACUAGAGUACCGGAGAGGAUAGCGGAAUUCACGGUGUAGCAGUGAAAUGCGUAGAUAUCGUGAAGAACACCAGCGGCGAAGGCGGCUAUCUGGAAGGUAACUGACGCUCAGGCACGAAAGCGUGGGGAGCAAAAGGGAUUAGAUACCCCUGUAGUCCACGCCCUAAACGGUGCACACUAGGUGUUGGCGGAUUCGACCCCGUCAGCGCCCAAGCUAACGCGUUAAGUGUGCCGCCUGAGGACUACGGCCGCAAGGCUAAA